rnacentral:rRNA from 1 species
GACUGCGGAGGAUCAUUAUCGUAGGGCUUCGGCCCUGUCGAGAUAGAACCCUUGCCUUUUUGAGUACCUUUCGUUUCCUCGGCAGGCUCGCCUGCCAAUGGGGACCACAAAAAACACUUUGCAGUACCUGUAACAGUCUGAACAAACAAAACAAAAAUUAAAACUUUCAACAACGGAUCUCUUGGUUCUGGCAUCGAUGAAGAACGCAGCGAAAUGCGAUAAGUAGUGUGAAUUGCAGAAUUCAGUGAAUCAUCGAACCUUUGAACGCACAUUGCGCCCUUUGGUAUUCCUUAGGGCAUGCCUGUUCGAGCGUCAUUACAACCCUCAAGCUUUGCUUGGUAUUGGACAUUGCCAGUUUCUGGCAGGUCUUAAAAUCAGUGGCGGUGCCAUUUGGCUUCAAGCGUAGUAAUUCUUCUCGCUUUGGAGAUCCAAGUGGUUACUUGCCAAUAACCCCCAAUUUUUUCAGGUUGACCUCGGAUCAGGUAGGGAUACCCGCUGAACUUAAGCAUAUCAAUAAGCGGAGGA